GAGAGGAGAGGAGAGGAGAGGAGAUUUUCUGAUUCCCUUCUAACCUUAUUUUCUAGGAAACAGCAUUUGAUAUCUUGCAGGGGAAAAAGUGUCCCAGCAAACAUAAACUAGUAAUCCAAGUGAGCAAAUUGUGUUGUAGGAUAUUUAUUUCCAUAGUCACCCAACAGGUUUUUGUGAAAGGGUAUUAAGAAGAAUAAAAUAAUAGUGAUUUUCAGUCUUUUGGAAAUGGUGUAAGAAGGUUUUUUUAUGGAUGCUGUAAGAUACAGAAGGAAUUUUCUUUCCAACAUGUUUUUUUCAGCAAUAUUUUCUCUAGUUGAGAUUUAAGGGAGGAACCAGACACCAAAUUUCAGUCACCAGAACUGUGCUCCAGAUCUCAAAGUAUUUAAUAGAUGUGUUCAGUCUGCCUCCCCAUGUGAACAAGUCCAAGGAAACCUCAGAAAAAAUGCCAAAUGUUUAAAAACUCAGCAGAGACUGAUGAAAAGAGAAGAAAGCAGAGGCCAGUUGUAGACACUAUAUACAAAAUAAAUCUUUAAACAUGAUUUUCCUGUGAGGUUUGUUUUGUUCACUUAAUGAAAAUGUCAUUAGCAGAGAUGUAGGAAUGAACCCAGCAGGGGAGUUGGCAUUUGACUUUAUUGAAGCAACCCUUGUCCCUUUUCACCCCACUUCCAUAUCACCUGUAUCUUCUGUGUAAUGACAAGGGUUAAUGAUAGCACUGCAGAGGUCAAACACUGGAAGGUGAUUAAAAAAAUGAACUGUUUUCCAUAUACCUUGGUUCAAUGAGUUCAAAGGCAAGAGAGCACACAGAUAUGCAUAUCUUGGUUUGGAUUACAGCAAAGCUUCACCUGUGAGGCCAUUUGAAAAUGUGUGGGCUUGCACUACAGGGGAGCUGAGAGAAAACACCUAAAUGGUUACUACCAUCAGAAGCAUCAGCAUGAAACUCACCUUGUCAGUCUGUAGCAGCCUGGAUCCGGGAGACCUUGCAAUGUCAGCUUGCUGCCAAUGGGAAUAAAAAAGUAUUCUUGUGUUUUUGUAGCAGCCAAGCUGUUACAGGAACAAGGAACGUGAAUGGAACCAAAAUGAGGUAAUGUCACUUCUAAUGAACCUGUGGUCGACAUUGGAACAGAAGGCAUUUAAAAAAGGGAAAACAGGAAAGUCUUGAUCCUGAGCUGAAGAUUUCCGCAGUAUGAGCAACAAGGCAAGGUAGCUGAUUACAUCUGAAAUGACUAGGAAACAACAGCUAAAUACUGAAUUAGUAGAUACUGUAAUUAGAGCAGUUGAAAACUUUUUGUUCUGAUUUCAAAGAAAAAUAAGAAUUCUGAAUAGAAAAUAGAUCUGCUUCAGCUGGUUGGUUUUUGGUUUUGUUUUGCUUUGUUUUGUUUUGUUUGUUUGUUUUUUAGUUAAACGUAGGCCUGAAAAUACUGUUUCAAGGUAACUGGAAGCAUUUAAUUGGGCUGAAAUGAAUGCAAAGUUCACUUCCAGUCAUUGCCAUGACUAAAUCAGAUGCUAACUUCUAGCUUGCUCAAAGCAAAGAAAGUAUAAUAAAUGCCAUGUUUACCCACACAGGACAAAGAAAUAAGGUGUGGUUUUCCAGGUAAGUACAAUCAGUAUUACUGUUGCAGCUGUUAAUAACAUUAGAUAUGAUUACAACCUGAUUGAAGGAAGACAUCUUCUUAACUCACAGUUAACAAAGAGACCAGUUCUUUUGAAGAUCCUCUCUUGGCAAAGUCAUACCUGGAGAAGCACUGCCAAAUCCAGGGUCCUUAAUAAAGAACGUGACAUAUUUGUUGGUACAUUGUUUUUUUUCCCAGAUGAACUGCAUUUCAGGUCUCUUUUACAGCUAAAGUUUAACUAUCCUUGCAGCAAAGCAGCUUUUCAAGCAAUCUUGUUGGAAGAGAUCGGGGGUGGGAGAAAGUAGUUUAAAAAUUAAUAGAGGUACUUUUUUCUUAAUUGAACUAUAAAUACUAUUUUAAUGGGUAUUUUGUUAUAUGAAAAUAUAGUCAGAAAAUUCAUCUAGAAGACUGAGAACCACUCACGGUGUUCCAAAAUUGUCAGUUCUCAGAAUAAAUAUGAAAUAUAUCUCAUAUUUCUUGUGGG